rnacentral:SRP_RNA from 1 species
GCCAGGUGUGGUGGUGCGUGCCUGUAGUCCCAGCUACUCAGGAGGCUGAGGUGGGAGGACUGCUUGAGCCCAGGACUUUGAGGUUACAGUGAGCUGUGACUGCACCGUUGCACUUUAGCCUGGGCAACAGAGCAAGACCCUAUCUCUU